GAUGAACGCUGGCGGCGUGCCUAAUACAUGCAAGUCGAGCGAACAGACGAGGAGCUUGCUCCUCUGACGUUAGCGGCGGACGGGUGAGUAACACGUGGAUAACCUACCUAUAAGACUGGGAUAACUUCGGGAAACCGGAGCUAAUACCGGAUAAUAUAUUGAACCGCAUGGUUCAAUAGUGAAAGACGGUUUUGCUGUCACUUAUAGAUGGAUCCGCGCCGCAUUAGCUAGUUGGUAAGGUAACGGCUUACCAAGGCAACGAUGCGUAGCCGACCUGAGAGGGUGAUCGGCCACACAGGAACUGAGACACGGUCCAGACUCCUACGGGAGGCAGCAGUAGGGAAUCUUCCGCAAUGGGCGAAAGCCUGACGGAGCAACGCCGCGUGAGUGAUGAGGGUCUUCGGAUCGUAAAACUCUGUUAUUAGGGAAGAACAAAUGUGUAAGUAACUAUGCACGUCUUGACGGUACCUAAUCAGAAAGCCACGGCUAACUACGUG
rnacentral:rRNA from 1 species